AUUGAACGCUGGCGGCAGGCCUAACACAUGCAAGUCGAGCGAGCGGCGGACGGGUGAGUAAUGUAUGGGGAUCUGCCCGAUAGAGGGGGAUAACUACUGGAAAAGGUGGCUAAUACCGCAUACCAUAAGAUGUGCCCAGAUGGGAUUGGCUAGUAGGUGGGGUAAUGGCUCCCCGAGGCCACUAUCCCUAGCUGGUCUGAGAGGAUGACCAGCCACACUGGAACGGGGACACGGUCCUGACUCCUAUGGGAGGCAGCAGUGGGGAAUAUUGCACAAGGGGCGCAAGCCUGAUGCAGCCAUGCCGCGUGUGUGAAGAAGGCUUUCGGGUUGUAAAGCACUUUCAGCGAGGAGGCGUUACUCGCAGAAGAAGCACCGGCUAACUCCGUGCCAGCAGCCGCGGUAAUUC
rnacentral:rRNA from 1 species